AUGUAUGCAGGUUCCAACCCCACCUCGGAGAUGAGGAACUCGGACCUGCGCUGCAGCCGACCACCGGAACAUCUUCUUCAAGUGCUCGACCUUGGCGGUGAUUUUCUCCUGGGUGAGGAAUGCGACAGCUUGCAGCGCUUGCCCGAACAUCCCCGAUCCACGGGGCACACCGAGCCCUUCGGCGCACGCCACUAUCGCCCGGACGCGCUCCGGGUUAUUGCCGAGCAGCCAUGGCACACGGUUGCACAGCCUGACAAUAUCGCAAGCACCUAG
rnacentral:rRNA from 1 species